UACGAAGGGGGCUAGCGUUGUUCGGAAUUACUGGGCGUAAAGGGCGCGUAGGCUGUGCUGUAAGUCAGGCGUGAAAGCCCCGGGCUCAACCUGGGAAUUGCGCUUGAUACUGCGGCGCUGGAAGGUGGGAGAGGAUGGCGGAAUUCCCAGUGUAGAGGUGAAAUUCGUAGAUAUUGGGAAGAACACCGGUGGCGAAGGCGGCCAUCUGGCCCAUUUUUGACGCUGAGGCGCGGAAGCGUGGGGAGCAAACAGG
rnacentral:rRNA from 1 species